CCAUAUUAACCUAUUGUCAAUUUCAAUAAAAAUCCACAUGAUGAUACCAAAAAGAACCAAGAUAUGAAAUAUUGCAAUGACUACAUAUCCAACAAACGUUCAAGUGAGCAACAAAAACGAAUGAAAAAAUUCUCAAGAGCAGCUUUUGAAGUUUGAGCUCUAUCUCCAUAUCAUAUUACCACAAGUCCACCACGCCUACAAAAAAAGAUGUUUAAGAAUAAAGGUUGUACAAAACAAAUAUCAUUUCAAGAAAUUGAAAUGCUGAUGAAAUCUUAGUGUUGGAGAUGACAUACAAAGAAAAAUAAAAAAAGAAGGAACCGUAAUUUUUGGAAGAAUAUCAUCCCUGCUGUGUAGAGAUGAAGAGUCGAGACGUAAAAAUGAAUUAAAGAUGGAGAAUACCAUGGGUUUCCAUCUGAUUGAAUCUGAUUCAGCUACGGUGGAGAAUAGGAAAGGUUUUUUGAAUUAAUUAGAAAGAAAGAAGAAUGUUCAAGAACCAAAACGUUAAACGUGGCCGAAAGAGAUGAUAUAGUGUCACGCCCAUUAUUA
rnacentral:lncRNA from 1 species